AUUUAUAUAGUUUAAAAUAAAACCUUACAUUUUCACUGUAAAAAUAAAAUCAUUUUUUAUAAAUA
rnacentral:tRNA from 1 species